CCUACGGGUGGCAGCAGUGAGGAAUAUUGGUCAAUGGGCGCGAGCCUGAACCAGCCAAGUCGCGUGAGGGAAGACGGCCCUACGGGUUGUAAACCUCUUUUGCCGGGGAGCAACGCGCGCCACGUGUGGCGCCACUGAGAGUACCCGCAGAAAAAGCAUGGGCUAACUCCGUGCCAGCAGCCGCGGUAAUACGGAGGAUGCGAGCUUUACCCGGAUUUAUUGGGUUUAAAGGGUGCGUAGGCGGGGCGUUAAGUAAGUGGUAAAAUCGAGGGGCUCAACCCCUCCCCGCAAUUGAAACUGGAGGUCUUGAGUUGAAAAGAGGCAGGCGGAAUGCGUGGUGUAGCGGUGAAAUGCAUAGAUAUCACGAAGAACCCCGAUUGCGAAGGCAGCAUGCCGGCUUCCGACUGACGCUGAGGCUCGAAGGUGCGGGGAUCGAACAGGAUUAGAUACCCUUGUAGUC
rnacentral:rRNA from 1 species